rnacentral:piRNA from 1 species
UGGGCCCCUGGAAAUGAACGAAGCAUUAA